rnacentral:rRNA from 1 species
AGCUCCAAUAGCGUAUAUUAAAGUUGUUGCAGUUAAAAAGCUCGUAGUUGGAUUUUGAGUUUGGUAAAAUCGGUCUACUUUUUGUAGUACUGACUUGCCUGCUCUUCUUCUCGAGGCCUAUGAGUGUACUUAACCGUACGUUCAUAGUGUUCGGGACUUUUACCGUGAGAAAAUUAGAGUGUUCAUAGCAGGCUUUUGCUUGAAUAUUGCAGCAUGGAAUAAUGGAAUAGGAUCAUGAUCUUAUUUUGUUGGUUUCUAAGAUCAAGAUAAUGAUUAAUAGGGAUAGUUGGGGGCAUUAAUAUUUAGUUGUCAGAGGUGAAAUUCUUAGAUUUACAAAAGAUUAACUUCUGCGAAAGCAUUUGCCAAGGAUGUUUUCGUUAAUCAAGAACGAAAGUACGCA